AGGCAAGAUUCAAUCUGCAUCAAACGCUCUCAUGAUACCCUGUGUUUCUCCUUCAUAGCCUUUAUCGUAACUGUAAUGAAAUGUAAUUUGUGUAAGUAUUUGCUGAAUAUUAACAAUUUUGAUGGCAGAAAUUUAAUCUGGCUCAGAGGAAAAUGGCAAAUAAAUGUUUAUUGAAAUGAAUAAAUGAGUGAGUGAAUGAAUGCAAGGAUAAAAGAAAUGCACUAUGCAAAUAUCUGGCUACAAAAGUUGUUCUGUCUUGCAGAAAGUCAGUAAAGAGAGAGACGGACAUCAUUGAAGUAUCCCAGAAACUCCAUACAGAUAAAAGUCCCUCGUUUUAUACAUGAGCAUACCUUCUUCAGAUCUGGCCUGGACUGAGAAUUACAUCAGAAUUUAAUGUCCUGAGACCUGAGCUGAGUAUUACAUCAUCUGCUAGAGAAAUGAAGGAGUCAUUUAGUGUCGUCACCCAGCAGUUAGUGCCAUUAUGUCUAAUUACAGAUCAGAGGAAAUAUGUAGCUGAAGAAAGUAGAGAAGAGAAUGAGACAAGAGAAGAAUCCUUCCGCUGCAGCGAGCAUUGAUGAUUGAAAGCCCAUAAAGCUUCUAUUGACUCAGAGUAUAAGGGGCUUGAUUUAUCUCAACACUUGGCAGGAAAAUAAAAACAAGAAUAAUACAGGUGUGUCCUUUGCUGUAAAUAAUACAGAUUUACUCUCUGCAAAUUUCAUAACCUUAAUGAUGCUGGAAACGUACUGACGCAAGUACGUCAGGCAACACUUGAUGCUGGCAAUUGUUUACGGGGUUGACAUUUUCUAACAUCUGUUUUAAGACUGUGAAGUUUUAAGCUGCAAUUUUUCAUUGCCCAUACUGACACUUUCACCAAGCUUUCCUUAGCGAAGCUGGUACCUUGACUUGUUAAUUCAAGAAGUGCAGCUAGAUCUUCAGAGUUUCUGAGGACUGUACAAACAGUAAUGAAUAAAACCAUAUCCUCCAUCUUCCUUCAAAAAAUUACCUGUUGUGAGAAGUCUAACUCUCAGAAUUUGGGUCAAAAUUUUGCUUUGUAAUUUAUUUUUGUGAGUGCUGCCAAGUCAAGAUAUUGUUUAUUUAAAAAGAAAAAAAAAACUGGGCCGUUUUGUGUGCGUAAAUAUAGUUUGAGAUUUGGUUGGUUCAAGAUGAGAAAAUAAUCAAAAUUAUUGCUUUCUUUAUUUUUAUGUUCCAAGGCUUAGGGGCAUACAAACUCUAGAGUAAAAAUGCACUGGACUUUCUGUAAGGUAUUUAACACAUACCAUUCUAUGAUUUUAUUGUGAAUUAAGUAGAAAAGAUGAGAGAAUUUAGAGUAACAUGAAACCAAAGCUGGCUGAAUAGAGGCAUCCCAGAAAAGUUCAUGUAUAUUAAAUUAAGUGAAGAUUAUCCUUGAUACAAAGGAACACUGGAUUUAGAACUGUUUUGAAAAUCAAUUAAAACAUAAAGAGUUUGCUUACAAAAUUGUGAAUAAUAACCUGGAAUGAAUAACUUAAUAAGUUAUAUAACAAAUCAAAAUUUAAAAUGUUCUUGGUGAAAUUGAAAUAGUAUGCCAGAACUAUAAAGGGC
ensembl:lncRNA